rnacentral:rRNA from 1 species
AACGUAGGAGGCGAGCGUUAUCCGGAUUUACUGGGCGUAAAGCGCACGCAGGCGGGCUGGUCAGUCGGACGUGAAAGCUCCUGGCUUAACUGGGAGAGGCCGUCCGAAACUGCCAGGCUUGAGGUAGGGAGAGGGGUGUGGAAUUCCCGGUGUAGUGGUGGAAUGCGUAGAUAUCGGGAGGAACACCAGUGGCGAAGGCGGCACCCUGGCCCUCACCUGACGCUGAGGUGCGAAAGCGUGGGUAG